CAGUCACGACCACCAGUAGGUGUGUCAUCUAGUAGCUAAUGUGGCAAAAUCUGUUGAAUGAGACUCGGAGUCUGGGGAGGCCAGAGUCGUCAUCAUCCUGAUUCCACCUGGUUCCGUCUGGUUUGUCUCUUCCUAUAGCUUCCUCCUCUUGUCUCCAGACCUUUCACUUCUCGAUACACGAUAACUCCAGUUCAAGGAGGGUUUCACAGGCUUUGGCAAGGAUCUGCUGUCGGCUCUGGCAACAACACCCCCUUUCCUCGUCACUACUCCCCAUUCUUGAGGGGGAAGGUCUGUCUUCUGGGGCUGCUUCCUGCUGAACAUGGGCAUAGGUUUCCCCUGGAUUGGAGGCGCAGAACUGUCCCUGCCCCGUCUAACAUAAGCCCGAGCUUCAGAAGGCUGCAGCCUCAGUUCUUGUACCCUUGUGUUAGUAUCAUCUGAAGUUUGAGGGAUUCAAGCUCUUUGCUAACAGAGUUGACAAGGCGGUUAUGGAAGCAAGGCCUGAAGACGAACAGGAGGUUAAUGCAGUCAGUGUGCCAAGAAAUGGAAGAGACCAGUUUAAACUAGAAAGGCUCUCUUUGACCUUAUUCCAGAUGGAGCUUGGAUUGGGACCUUUGGGGGGAUACCUUUGUGCCCUUUGAGCUUGCUUAUACACCUCUUUUAUGUUUACCUCAAUCUGACCAGAGUUACUCCCAUGUACGUGGUGGGUUUUAUUAAUAACUAUGCCGAAUUUCCCUUGCUCAGCCAGGAAGUAGUCAAGGGCUAGCCUAUUGUCAAGUACAAUAUUUUCUACCAAGUCCAGAGAAGUAUGGAAUAAAGCAUCCCUCAUGCUUUUAGGCAAGUCCUCAGGGGCUCGUGUAAGGAUUUGUGCAGUGAUUUCAUGGUAUGCAGAACUUCCCCAGGGGGCCACCAAAUCCCCCUUGUCUAGUCCAAGAGCAAUCCCUACUCCUGCUGGAGGGAAUCUUUUUGCCCCUUUAUCUCAGUGCUGGGUGAUGUUAUGAAUGGUUAUACCUAGGUUCCUAGAACUUACCAGCCUAGUGUGCAUUGUGCACAAAUGGGGCAUCAUUUAAGCAAGGAUCUGGCAUUGCUGCAAGAUGCAGCAUAGGUUGCAGAUGCAGCUGGGAUCUGGCAUUGCUGUGGCUGUGGUAUAGGACAACAGCUGCAGCUCCUAUUUGACUCCUACCCUGGGGACUUCCAUAUGCCUCAGAUGCAGCCCUAAAAAGAAAAACAAAAAACAAAGAAACUUCUGGACAUAUAUCUGGAGAAAACCAUAAUUGGAAAAGUUAUAUGUACCCCAAUAUUCAUUGUGGAACUACUGACACUAUCCAAGACAUAGAAGCCACUUAAAUGUCCUUUGACAGAGGAAUGGCUAAAGAUGUGGUAUAUAUAAUGGAAUGUUACUUGGCUGUAAAAAGAAUGAAAUAAUGCCAUUUGCAGCAACAUGGGUGGACCUAGAGUUUAACAUACCAAGUAAAUCAGAGAAAUAGCUUAUGAGAUCCCUUCUAUGUGGAAUCUAGUAAAAUUAUACAAAACUUCCUUAUAAAAUGGAAACAAACACAGUUCCUGAAAUCAAACUUAUGGUUACCCAGGGGGAAACCAUGGGGAGGGGGAAUAAAUUGGGACAAUAGUAUUAGUACAUACACACUACUAUGUGCAGAAUAGAUAACGAGCAAGAAUCUGUUGUAGAGCACAGGGAAAUAGACUCAAUAUUCUGUAAUAACCUAUGUGGGGAAAAAAAUGAAUACCUCUGUCUCUCUCUCUCUCUCUAUAUAUAUAUAUACACACACACACACACUCCAGUAAAAUUAAAUAAUAAAGGGAAACAUUCCAAUUAUGUCAAGACACUCAUCAACGCUUGAUCUCCCUUUCCCCAUAGCACUUGUACGAAUGCGAAUAGUCCCUAAAGGAAAAAUCAUGUUGAGUCCAUAUGAGACCAUGUAUGGGAGGCACAUUCCUGAAGGAACUGGCUCUGAGACCACCCUGGGGGAUAUGGACCAGUAGAAAUAUGCCUUUCAGAGAGGGGGAAAUAAUCACAGCUUUACACCACGCGACGAUCCAGAACUACCUUCUCCUUCUGAGCCACAGUGGGAAAUCCAGGAGUUCCUUUUGAGGGUUUGAUUUGUUCUACUUUCCUGAGGAUUGCGGUUUCCAAGUGGAGGGUAAACCCCAUGUAAUUCCUACAGCUCUAGAGACUCCCUUCGUAAUUUGGGAACAAAGGCAGGCCCCUUGUCCCUCUUGAUGGACUUAGGGGGCCCAAACGGGGAAUUCUUUCCUUGAGAAAGGUCUUAGAAACCUCCAAGGCAGUCUCAGUUCAGGUGAGAAAUGACUCCAUCCAGUCUGAGAAGGUGUCAGUCAAAACCCACAAACAUCUAAAAUUCCCUUGUGCCCAGAGCAUUACUGUAAAAUCAGUUUGCCAGUCUUGACCUGAAUAUGUGCUUCGAUACCAGAUAGGGGUCACUCCAGUGACCUUGGGGAGGGUGAGUUUGGGGCCUGUCCUGGAGGCAGGGCAAGCUCCAACCAGCCUAGUAGUGUUGGACAGGGAGAAAGGACCGUGCUGGGAGAUUUUGAGAGAGAGAGAGAGCUCGUGGACUCAUAUGAGGCCUGUGGUGGUUCUUAGAGUGAGAGGAGGAGGGAAAUCAGUCCAAGAGGCGUUAGCUUGAAUAUUGGGCAAGCACUGCUCCAGGAUCAGACUUGCACACGGCACGGGGCCUGGAAAGCUGGGCCAGUGGUCAUGAAUGAAGAGAGGAAAAGCAGAGUUUCCUUGGUGGGCAGGCUGCGACGAUCCUACAGACCUGUCUCUCGGUUCUCUGAAAAAUUUCUUCUUUUUCUUCCAUUCGAGCCUCUCCCUCCUCUGGAUCACCCCCGAGGAAAAAUAUGACUCAAGAAAAGUCACAUAAAUUAGGAGGGGAGGAUGAUUAAUUUUUAAAAAGUUUACCUGAUUCAGAGUGGCCGUGGCUCAUUGACUAAGAGAAAUGGUGAAGGAUUGGGAGGAGUGAGAGCCACAGCUGAACUGGAGGGGGAAAAUACUCCCUCUGGACAGCUCUUGGUGGUUCUUAGAGGAGGAACUGAAUCAGCUACCCCAGGGCAGUCCAUGGGUUUGUUCAGGAGGCAGGAGGAGGUGCUCUGAGUUGUCAUUGGAGAGAAUGGUCGCCAGAGGGCGCUGAGGUGCCAUCCAAGCACAGCAGUUGCUUGUGUUGGCACUGCUAGGCUCAGAGAUGGGGUUGCAGAUGGGGAUGGUGGGUACCCCAGGAGAUGUCCCGCCAGGAGGGGUUGCUUACAGGUCGCAACUGACCCUCCAGGACAAAUUGACUUACCUGGGGAAAGGAAACUUGUUCCACCUUCACACAUCUGGGUCAUUUUCAAGCGGCACAGCUAGCCCAAAGCCCAUGUUAAAGGACAGCUCUUCAAGGUUCAGACUGCCUUUUGAUUCUCCAGAGGUAGAACUCCGAAACACAGGCAGUUGGUUUGAGUAUUGGGCAUUUGGUUUUCCAGAAUCAGGCUUCCAUGAUGUUUGGCAUCUGGAGAGCAGGGCCGAUGGUCAUCAGUGGAGAGUAUAAAACAGGGGUCCUUUGGAGGGCAGGCUAUGCCCAUCCCAGAAACCUGUCUCUUGAGUGUUCUCUGAACAUCCCACAUUUUUCUUUGAUCUAAGCCUCUCUCUCCUUUCGUGCACCCCUGAGGGGAAAUCUUACCUAAAGCCAGGUCACAUAAGAUAAAGGGUGGCUAAAAGGAGGACAGAGGGGAAAUAAUUUAAAGCCAAUUAUCUGACUCGUAGUGCAUUCAGCUGAUGGACUUCAAGGGCUGCUGAUAGGGAGCAGGGAAGGAUAUGGGAGACUUUGAGAGAGAAACACCACCUUCUGUAAGGCCCUUGAGUUUUCUGAGAAAGAAAGGAGGACCAGAUUAGGCUCGCAGAUAGUCACGAGCAGUGCAGACAGAACCGCUUGCCGUCGGGAGGCAGAGGAUGGGAUCUGAAUUGUCAGCAGAGGUAAUGGUCGCUAGAGGACAAGGAGCCCUGACAUUGCCCACCUGCAGCUUGGCACUCCCAGACUUAGAGACAGGGUUGGAAAUGGUGCUGGUGGAACCCUGAGGAUGUGCCCAGCAAGGAAAGGUGAGUUACAGGUUGCUUCUGACUCUCAGGUCCAAAAUUCCUCUCCUGAUAGUGGGUACACAGGUCUUCCUUUACAACUAAGGGUCAUUUCCGUGCUGCUGGUGGAGCACUAAGACUAAACGGUUUGGCAGGCCGCCUGGGGUCUCACUGCCUUUGGAUUCUCCAGCAUCAUAACCCAGAAUACAAAAUAUCUGGCUUGAUUCCUGAGCAUGCAGCUGUCCCAAAUCAGCCUUCUGUUACAUGCACAGGAAACCAGUGCUUGAGGAUCUGAAUGGAGUGUGAAACAGCACCAGUGUUUUGUCUGGUCAGGCUGUGCUCCUCACUGGGAUAUAUCUCCAAAAUUUCUCCCCCGAGUGCCUUUUCAUGUUUCUUCCUGAACCAGUGCUUCCUCUCAUUCAUCUCCAGGGAAAGGGCAUUUGCUAAGAGGCGAUCACAUGUUUUACGGUGAGCAGAUGACUUUCCAGCUGGUGACCUGACGUGAAGUGGGAUGGAUCAGCUGAGGGACGUAGAGCAGUGGUGUUGGGAAAGGAGGAAGCAGUGCCACAGGAGACUUUGAGAGAGAGACAGAUUGCCCUCUGUCAGGCGGGAUGUGGUUUUCGUUAGAGGGAGAGUAGGUUGGAAAUCAGCUGUCAAGUGCACAACCCUAGUGCAGUCCACCCCUGGGUUUGGUCAGGAGGCAGAAGGAAGUCCUCAGAGUGGUUAUUAGAGAGAACGGUUGCCAGAGCACCGGCAAAGCCCAGAGGUGCUUGGGAUCGGCCUGUGCCAGCACAGAGCCAGAGUUGAAGAUGGGGCUGGUGGAUCCCCCAGGACAUGCCUAGGGAGCAGGGUAGGAUACAGAGCACCACUGACUCCCCAGAAUAAUUACCUCACCUGUCUGCCUUCCCAUCUGUGGGGCGCUCUCAGACAGCUCAGGUGGCCUAAAGUCCAGACACUUGGGCAGGCUGGCAAGAGUGGUGACUGCCUUUGGAUUCUGCAGAGGCAGAAAACUGAACACAGAUGUAGUUGGCUUGGCUACUGGGCAUGCAGUGCUCCAGGAUCAUGCCUGCACCAUGUUUGGCAUCUGGAAAGCUGGGUGGGUGGUCAUGAAUGGAGAAUGGAAAAGCAGAGGUUCCUUGGUGGGAAGGUUGCCCAUUUCCUGAAAAUUGUCUCUGGUCUCUUGAAAUUUCUUUCUAUUUCUUCCAUCUGAGCCUCUCCCCCCUUUCAUUCACCCCUAAGGGAAAAAAUCUUAGUUCAAGACAGGUCACAUAAAUUAAGGCGGGAGGCUGAUUUAAUGUAAAUCCAGUUACUUGAUUUGCAGUGGGUUCAGCUCAUAGACUAAGAGGAAUGCUAAGGGAUAGGGAGGAGUGAGUGCCAUGGAUGACGGUGAGAGGGAAAUACCUGCCUCCUGGAAGGCACUUGGUUGUUCCUAGAAGGAAAGGAGGAAUUACAUCAGCUCUGAGGUGCACAAGUCCAGUGCAGUCCAUGGGUUUGUUCAGGAGGCAGGAGUGGGAGGGCUCUGGGUUGUUAUUAGAGGAAAUGGCCACCAGAGGGCACUAAGGCACUGGGCAAGCCCAGCAACUGCUUGGUGUUGGCACUUCCAGGCUCAGAGAUGGGGAGGGGUGGAUUCCCUCAGGAGGUGUCUGGUGAGGAGGGGAAGGUUACAGGCCGCCCUUGACUCUCCAAUCAAAAUUGGCUCACCCGGUAAAAGGGAAAUGGUUCCACCUUCAACGCAUCUGGGUCACUUGCAGUCAGCUCAGAUAGACCAAAGUCCACACCCUUGGACUGGCAAUCAGGGGUCUGGCUGACUUUUGGUUUCUCCCGAAGA
rnacentral:lncRNA from 1 species